UUGCUUUUUUUUAAUCUAAAGACGAUAACCCCCAAAUUCCACUAUUUUCCUUUAAUAAUAGCUUACCAUUUAAUAUGCAUUUGUUAAAUGCUGGGCCCUUGCCAAGGACUUUACAUAUAUUAUUUUUAUUAGGCUUUCCAAAUAAUCCCAUACAGCAGUUAUUUUUAUCCCUAUUUUAUAAAUGGGAAAGGUGAGGCUCAGGAAGUUAAGUCCAGGUGGAAAUGUACUCAGUGGGCAAAUGGUGGAGGCAGGCUCGCAGUCCAGUCUGGCUGGUCCCAGGACUGGUCUUCUUUGGAAUCUUUUUCCUGGAACCGAUUCCACGGGCCUCUUUCAGGAGUCCAGGGCUCUCCUCGCAGUCUCUUGCUGCCCAGCGACUUCCCUAAAUCCCGUUGAGGCGCCGGGCCCCAACUCCAGGCAGAUUUCAUGGGAAAGGCUGCCACCUUGUGGCCAGAUGGCAAACCCAACAUUUGCCGGGAGGAAGUGAGGGCUGGUGAGGGAGGGGCUUUGCGGAGCAGCUGGUGCAGCCUUGCUUUCCGAGGGCGGCGCGCAGCCACAGUGCCCGCUGCGGGUGCUGGGGGAGGGCGCCUUACAGGCUGCCCACCUGCCUCCUCAGGGUGGAAGGCAGGGCUUGGGUGUGAGCGUGCUGAAUCAGAACUUUCCUGGAAAGUCGCCACUUGGUGUGGUCAGAGGAUCACUGAAGUAAGGUGAAAUAUGUAUGUGAUGGCUGGAGCUCCAGCAUUUACCUUGUGACUAUGAGGUGACUUUGGGGCUGGAGACCUCCAGGAUGAUGGCCUAUCCAGGGAAAAAGAGUCUAGAUCUCUGUUGAUCUAGGUGUCUUCAAUGUUCAUCCAUACAGCCAAGGAUUGCUUUCCCUAAGCUCCUUUCAGAUCAUAGGAAAAUAGGCUUGCCUGUCUAGGUGCUUUUACUGAGAUGUCUAUUAUAAGAUACAGGUACGGUCAUGUGACCUGUGCCUGCCUGACUCAUCACGGAUCCCCAGCUCCCUGACCAGUGAUUGGCCCAGGAAUGUGAACUCCCUCUGCCAGCAACUGCACAGGCCCUGUGCUUAAGAUGGCAGGAUGGCAAGACAGAGCAACUGGAGCAAGUCUUCAUUAAGAAGAGCCGCCCGAUGCAUUUGGACCGUGAUAUGUUACGCCCAUGAGAUUUCAGGGUUCAUGUGUUACCUGGCCGUGGCCUAUCUUCUUCCAGCGGAUACAGAAGAUACUGCAGUUUGCAACUUUGCAGAUACCAGCAGAGGAAGAAAAACAUGGGAGACUGCUAAUAACCUAACGUGGAGACUUAAAACUUCAGCCAGACAAAGGCAGAAUCUUAAUAUGGAGGGGCCUGGCUCUGCAGGGAGGUCACCUGGGCUGGCUGGAUUUCAAUCCAGUUACACAGCAAAAGUUAUGACCCAAGCUUUGCCGAUGCUGAGCCUUCUACUCUCAGGGAUUCCAAAGCAUUUGAUAAAUUCUUUGUUCCAUUGUUUGUUUACUGACUUCCUAGUGCUUGUCUUAUUCUGCAGUUAUUUUUAUUUAUUAGUUUACUUAUGAUCUGCCCCUCUCUCCCAUCUCCCCGCAACCUGAAGGUAAGGUGCAGGAAGUUAGGGCCUUUGCUUUCUAUGCCAUUACAUUCCCCUCCCCAGGGAAGGGGUUAGCAUGAUGGUAGGAACUGUUCCCUCUUGAUGACAGAUAAGUGACUGGGGCAGAAUCCACUUCUGCUGAGAUGAUCUGGAUGACCAUGGAUAAGCAGGAAGGCGUGUGACAUACUGGCAAGUGAGUCAGACAGAAAGAGAGACCUGGGAUCGAGUCCUGGCAUUGCCCUUUCUAGCUAUUGUGUCCUUGGACAGGUCAUUUAGCUUCCCUGAGUCUGUUUUCUCGUCUGAAAAAUGAAGGUAGUAAUAAUUAUCCUCAUGGGGCUAUUGAAAAAGUUAAAAUAAUACAAGCAAAGCAUUUAACAUAGGGUUUACAUUAUAAUAAUCCUCAAUUAAUGUUAUAUAUUGGUUUUAAAAAGAUGUCACGUGGGGCAAGUUGCCUGGUCUGGGAAAACUAGGGUUGGCUAAAACUCCCCACUGAGGUUCAGUUGUUACUUCCUCUUGGGAAAUCUUCCCUGAACCUCUCAGGCUGAGUGGCAUCCCUCUGGGAUCCCAUCAGACCCUGCAUGUACCUCUGUCUGUCUUUUCACUUAACCUGUGAUCAUCCUGUGUCUGCAUAUUUUAUCAGACCCUUGAUUCUUUGAGUGCAAAGAACAUACUUUAAAAUUUUUGUUCUUCCAGUACUUGCUUAGCAAAUUACUCAGCACAUAGUAGGCAUGAACACCAAUUCAUUGGUUGAAUUGGCCAGACAGUGCAAACUGAGGAAGAAGACCAAAGCUGUCUCUAGUUACAGCAUAAUGUAAAUCCCCACAGCAGGAAAUGGCUGCCUUUUUCAGAACGUUUUUCCCAAGGUAUGAGUCCCAAAGGGGGAUGGAUUCUACCUUCUGAGCGAAGAGUUUGCGUUUUCCAGGGAAUAAAGGAGUAUUAGAGGCUUUGAAGCUGGGAAACGUUCUCAGCUCUGUGAGGAAAGGGUGUAUCCCCUCCCACUCUGUGGUAACAGAUUGGGUGGAAUCACUUACCCGGAGCUUCCUGCCGAAGAUGGUGACUUUGCCUUUAAUCUGUUCCUUUCUUAGGCGCCACUCAAUGGAGUUUAAGCCAUUCUCCAUAGGCAGGGAGAUGUUGCAGCGUCCAAUGGUGGGGGUGAUGGUGCCUGCUAGGACAUGGGGCUCGCUGUGGAAGCUGACACCCAUCCCAUUAGCAUACAUCACCCUCAGGGUACCAUUAUUACAGAGCUGGUAGCUGUUCCGAACUUGAUCUGGAAAAAUGUUUCCGUGGUACUUUGCAGCCAUCAGUCGAAGGCUGCCUUCAAUUAGCACACAUACCAUGUGAAGCCAUCUAACUCAAGGUUGCUGGUCUAGCCACAGGUCAGAUCCACUACAAAUCAAAGCCCAGAAUUCUUCAAGAAAAUGGAGAGAAGAAGUCAAUCUUCCCCAUCCUCAUGCUUUUACUGCUGACUGCAUCUGAUACCACCCCCACUCAAGAGAACUCUGAAGAGACUCAAAUACAUCAGGGAGAUGGAGCCAGUGGGUGCUGAUAAUGUGUUUAUCUUCCCCAGUGGAAACUACACGAGUCAAUCAGACUUCUGACCUUUUCCUUUAUCGAAAAGUUACAGGAAGGAAAUGUGAGUCAGAGACUCCUUUUACAGAUACACUGAUUCCUGAUUGUGUGGGCAAAGGAGCUGGCCUGGGCUGGCCUCUGAGAAGUCAGCUUUUGGGGCAGUGAGCAAGUGUGUACCUGUCGCUCCUGCGACUCCAGCCGUCACGCAGAAGGACAGAAUCUACAUCAUUAAUCAUUUGGCAGAGCAGAAAUAGAGUCAUUGAAACAGGCUCUGCUGUGGGAUAAUAGUCCAGAAAUGUCACCAUUUAUCUAGUGAGAGGACACUUUUAUCCUCUGACAACGGGCUAGCCCACCGACAUUAUAUCUUAAUUAAAAGAAAAAUUAAUCGGGACAAUUCAUUUUCUUGCCAGCCCCAGUGCUUGCCCUGGACUGCAAAACACGUCUAAUAGCAACAAUAACCACAGGGUGGGCAGAGAGCUUUGAGAUCCCAGUCUCGGAGAGAGAAUGUUAAAGAGCUCCAGUCCCAGGGCAACCAACUCAUCAAACAAAUGCUUAAAAGAGAGAAUCAGGAUGGAACAAGAAAAUAUGAAAUCUAGUGGUGGGCCAGGAGAAUAAAUGGCCUUUGAGAAGAUAACUAUGUGUUUUGGGUUGGUGGGGAGAGGUGGUGGUGAUGGAAGGGUAAGAGGUAGGGAGAGAGUAUAUGGGGGGCGGGCGGGUGGAAAUGGACAUUUUCAGAUAACUAUGUAGACAGUUCAAAUAUCUAGACAUUUGGUUGGGUAUAGAUGACAUUCUGCUGUAUCUGAUUAAGUCAUUUUCUACAAGAUUGACCUCUUAUAGUUUGCUGUGGACACUUGAAUAAAACAGAAAGCUGAGGGGUA